UCUGACAACCACUUAUGCAACGCCAAAAGGAACCUUGCCCUGCAAGUUAUCCACGUGAACACGAGAAGUCAUUUCAAGCAGAACCAUCUGCUGCGACAUCGGAAGCACAGCCACUGUUACACUUGACCUCUACAAAUAUGGUGUGUCCUGAGAGAUGGUGAAGUAUCUAUUUCAAGCAAUUAUUUACUCUGAUACAGAGAUUUACAAAUCUCUGACAGACGUGCUCAACCAAAGACACUGCCCAAAAGUACAACAAGAACAUCAAGGAUUAUUUGAGCUUGACUACGAGAUGCAACUUGCCUACUUCCUCUGCAGAACAGUGCAACGGGUUAUAGAUGCACCACAUGCUUGCUGCCUGUAAAGACUGAUGGUUCAAUAAAAGCAUCAAACCAGUCUA